rnacentral:rRNA from 1 species
UGGGGAAUAUUGCACAAUGGGCGCAAGCCUGAUGCAGCCAUGCCGCGUGUGUGAAGAAGGCCUUCGGGUUGUAAAGUACUUUCAGCGGGGAGGAAGGGAGUAAAGUUAAUACCUUUGCUCAUUGACGUUACCCGCAGAAGUAGCACCGGCUAACUCCGUGCCAGCAGCCGCGGUAAUACGGAGGGUGCAAGCGUUAAUCGGAAUUACUGGGCGUAAAGCGCACGCAGGCGGUUUGUUAAGUCAGAUGUGAAAUCCCCGGGCUCAACCUGGGAAAUGCAUCUGAUACUGGCAAGCUUGAGUCUCGUAGAGGGGGGUAGAAUUCCAGGUGUAGCGGUGAAAUGCGUAGAGAUCUGGAGGAAUACCGGUGGCGAAGGCGGCCCCCUGGACGAAGACUGACGCUCAGGUGCGAAAGCGUGGGGAGCAAACAGG